AUGUUCCUUAAACUGUUAAAAGUUCACAAAAACCAAAUAAAUCAGAGGGUAACCACACGAUAUUGGAUGAUCCAGUGUGAUUGUGCCGAUCGGGCAUUUCAGAGGUUACAAUUUGACUCGUGUGGUUGUCUCAGGCCGCGUGGUGUAUUAAGUGUUCAUCACUGACGCCAUUUUGAGCGCGCGUGCCUGUAAAAAAAAAAAGAGAAAGACGUGAAUGAACAGGUAAUUGAAUAUAAUGUCAUUUACUAUGAUGAUGGUAUUCAUGUAUGUAUUGUAUUUACUUUCUGUGUUAUGUAAUUAAUUGUAACGCAUUAUUGAUAUGCAAUAUUGAAUGCAUAUUCUGGUCUGUGAUCAGGCCAGGGUUUUUUUUUUGUGAAUGUUUUGUUCAAGAUGGAUUUCCUUAAUUGAUGGCGAGCCUCCCACUUCGAUUCUGAAAGGAUCACGAGCUUAGAGGAAAGGACCAUUUCCAGUUCUAUUAUUUCUUCCUGAGAUAAGUAAGAGAACUCAUUUACAGAGACUGAUAUAGGCCUAUAUUACUAUUUUUUUUGGGGGCUGAAACAUCUCAAGAGCACAAUUGAGAAAGUUUAAGACUGAUCAAUAUUCCAAUUGAUAUUCCAUUUGAACUUGAAAUACUGCAUUAAGUGGGUUAAAUGUAAAACCACUGCUGAUUGUUUUCUCCAAUUUGUGUUCCAUUGAAUACAUUGAUUGUGAUUGUGAUUACUGGUAUAUGAAAACUUAUUCAGAGGGUGCACCCAGGAUAUAGUUAUUUGUUUUCAUUUUGUUUUGUUUUUCAUAUUGUACUUUGUUUAUGUGAUUGAGAGGAAAAAAAAAAAAACACUGAACUCAAAGUAAAGUGUAUUGGUUCAACUUACCUUCUGUCUCUGCCUGUUACUCAGUAUCACCACCACCUCCUUUUACGUACCGCACAGUCUUCUGAUUCAAUAUUCCUGGUCCGUUAGUUAUUGAGUUAAUAUCCGCUACACUAUCAUAUAAGUUUACCCAAUUAUGACAACUUCGCUGCUGAGAAAUCAGGAAAUGUGUAAAAGGUCAAUAGGCAACAUGGCUUUCAGAACUAAAAUUAUACCUGAUAUGAACAGAAUGAGCGUAAAAUAAAAAUGGACAAAAACAAUGAGUUGUUAAUAAA
ensembl:lncRNA